rnacentral:rRNA from 1 species
GGGAAGCCGAAGUUCCGUCGUGCGUUUUGAAAAACGAACCAGGGAGUGUGCCUGUUUGACGAGUCUAACCCGAUCAUCGGGGAAGGCGUAGGGAAACCGACAGGGCCGCAGCGCUUUGCGUGAGGGCCGCCGUGUUCAAGCGCGGGGAGUCAAACGGGCACGACNAUCGGGGAAGGCGUAGGGAAACCGACAGGGCCGCAGCGCUUUGCGUGAGGGCCGCCGUGUUCAAGCGCGGGGAGUCAAACGGGCACGACCCGAAACCGGAUGAUCUAGACAUGGGCAAGGCGAAGCGUGCCGAAAGGCACGUGGAGGCCUGUUAGCGUUGGUGUCCUACAAUACCCUCGCGUGACCUAUGUCUAGGGGUGAAAGGCCCAUCGAAUCCGGAGACAGCUGGUUCCGACCGAAAGAUGUCGAAGCAUCACCUCCGCCGAGGUAGUUCGUGAGGUAGAGCGACGGAUUGGGGGACCGC